rnacentral:rRNA from 1 species
CCUACGGGAGGCAGCAGUAAGGAAUAUUGGUCAAUGGACGAAAGUCUGAACCAGCCAUGCCGCGUGAAGGAUUAAGGCCCUCUGGGUUGUAAACUUCUUUUAUCUGGGACGAAAAAAGGGUAUUCUUACUCACUUGACGGUACCAGAGGAAUAAGCACCGGCUAACUCCGUGCCAGCAGCCGCGGUAAUACGGAGGGUGCAAGCGUUAUCCGGAUUUACUGGGUUUAAAGGGUGCGUAGGUGGGCUUGUAAGUCAGUGGUGAAAUCUCCGGGCUUAACCCGGAAACUGCCAUUGAUACUAUAGGUCUUGAAUUAUCUGGAGGUAAGCGGAAUAUGUCAUGUAGCGGUGAAAUGCUUAGAUAUGACAUAGAACACCAAUUGCGAAGGCAGCUUACUACGGAUAUAUUGACACUGAGGCACGAAAGCGUGGGGAUCAAACAGGAUUAGAUACCCUGGUAGUCCACGCCCUAAACGAUGGAUACUCGACAUCAGCGAUACACUGUUGGUGUNUGAGNGAGANAUAUAUCCACCNGAGUAGANGCAGAUAGAACGUACAANAGAAGUAGUACGGCGUGAGACGUAGCCGACGGACGACGACGAGGGAGGAGG